GACGAACGCUGGCGGCGUGCUUAACACAUGCAAGUCGAACGGAAAGGCCCUGCUUGCAGGGUACUCGAGUGGCGAACGGGUGAGUAACACGUGGGUGAUCUGCCCUGCACUUCGGGAUAAGCCUGGGAAACUGGGUCUAAUACCGGAUAUGACCUUCCAUGUAGUGUGGGGGGUGGAAAGAUUUAUCGGUGUGGGAUGAGCCCGCGGCCUAUCAGCUUGUUGGUGGGGUAAUGGCCUACCAAGGCGUCGACGGUAGCCGGCCUGAGAGGGUGGACGGCCACAUUGGGACUGAGAUACGGCCCAGACUCCUACGGGAGGCAGCAGUGGGGAAUAUUGCACAAUGGGCGGAAGCCUUAUGCAGCGACGCCGCGUGGGGGAUGACGGCCUUCGGGUUGUAAACCUCUUUCGACAGGGACGAAGCUUCGGUGACGGUACCUGUAUAAGAAGCACCGGCUAACUACGUG
rnacentral:rRNA from 1 species